GACGUAGGGCGCGAGCGUUGUCCGGAUUUAUUGGGCGUAAAGAGCUCGUAGGCGGCUUGUUGCGUCGACUGUGAAAACCCGCGGCUUAACUGCGGGCUUGCAGUUGAUACGGGCAGGCUAGAGUUCGGUAGGGGAGACUGGAAUUCCUGGUGUAGCGGUGAAAUGCGUAGAUAUCGAGAGGAACACCUGCGGCGAAGGCGGGUUGCUGGGCCGACACUGACGCUGAUGCGCGAAAGCCAGGGGAGCGAACGGG
rnacentral:rRNA from 1 species